UACGUAGGUGGCGAGCGUUGUCCGGAUUUACUGGGCGUAAAGGGAGCGUAGGCGGACUUUUAAGUGAGAUGUGAAAUACCCGGGCUCAACUUGGGUGCUGCAUUUCAAACUGGAAGUCUAGAGUGCAGGAGAGGAGAAUGGAAUUCCUAGUGUAGCGGUGAAAUGCAUAGAGAUUAGGAAGAACACCAGUGGCGAAGGCGAUUCUCUGGACUGUAACUGACGCUGAGGCUCGAAAGCGUGGGGAGCAAACAGGAUUAGAUA
rnacentral:rRNA from 1 species